AGCGAACGCUGGCGGCAGGCUUAACACAUGCAAGUCGAACGCAUCCUUCAGGGUGAGUGGCAGACGGGUGAGUAACACGUGGGAACAUACCUUUUGGUUCGGAAUAACUCAUGGAAACGUGAGCUAAUACCGGAUACGCCCUUUUGGGGAAAGAUUUAUUGCCGAAAGAUUGGCCCGCGUCUGAUUAGCUAGUUGGUGAGGUAAUGGCUCACCAAGGCGACGAUCAGUAGCUGGUCUGAGAGGUUGAUCAGCCACACUGGGACUGAGACACGGCCCAGACUCCUACGGGAGGCAGCAGUGGGGAAUAUUGGACAAUGGGCGCAAGCCUGAUCCAGCCAUGCCGCGUGAGUGAUGAAGGCCUUAGGGUUGUAAAGCUCUUUUAUCCGGGAAGAUAAUGACUGUACCGGAAGAAUAAGCCCCGGCUAACUUCGUGCCAGCCGCCGCGGUAA
rnacentral:rRNA from 1 species